rnacentral:rRNA from 1 species
GCAUAAUCAUUUGCCCCCUAAUUAGGGGCUAGCAUGAACGGAUAAACGAGAUUAUGACUGUCUCCUUUAUACCUAUAAAAAUUAAUCUACAGGUGAAGAAGCCUGUUUUUAUAUAAAAGACAAGAAGACCCUGCUGAGCUUUAAUUAUUUAUAAAAUUCAUCAAUACCUAUCAAAUAAUUCCUCUUAUAAAUAAUUUUUGUUGGGGCGACAAUGGAGCACACAAACCCUCCACCAUACCUAAAACACCAAGUUUCCCAAAAGAUCCUCUAUAGAUAUUAGGCACUAGCUACCACAGGGAUAACAGACUAAUCUUCCUUAAGAGCCCAAAUCUACAGGAAGGCUUGG